rnacentral:rRNA from 1 species
CCCAGACUCCUACGGGAGGCAGCAGUGAGGAAUAUUGGUCAAUGGACGAGAGUCUGAACCAGCCAAGUAGCGUGAAGGAUGACUGCCCUAUGGGUUGUAAACUUCUUUUAUAAAGGAAUAAAACGAGGCACGUGUGCCUUUUUGCAUGUACUUUAUGAAUAAGGAUCGGCUAACUCCGUGCCAGCAGCCGCGGUAAUACGGAGGAUCCGAGCGUUAUCCGGAUUUAUUGGGUUUAAAGGGAGCGUAGAUGGGUUGUUAAGUCAGUUGUGAAAGUUUGCGGCUCAACCGUAAAAUUGCAAUUGAUACUGGCAGUCUUGAGUACAGUUGAGGUAGGCGGAAUUCGUGGUGUAGCGGUGAAAUGCAUAGAUAUCACACAGAACACCGAUUGCGAAGGCAUCUGACGAAUCGGAGAUUGACGCUGAUGCACGAAAGCGUGGGUAUCGAACAGGAUUAGAUACCCUAGUAA